rnacentral:rRNA from 1 species
UACGAAGGGGGCUAGCGUUGCUCGGAAUCACUGGGCGUAAAGGGCGCGUAGGCGGCGUUUUAAGUCGGGGGUGAAAGCCUGUGGCUCAACCACAGAAUGGCCUUCGAUACUGGGACGCUUGAGUAUGGUAGAGGUUGGUGGAACUGCGAGUGUAGAGGUGAAAUUCGUAGAUAUUCGCAAGAACACCAGUGGCGAAGGCGGCUCACUGGCCCGGUACUGACGCUGAGGCACGAAAGCGUGGGGAGCAAACAGG